CUUAGCUCAGCUGGGAGAGCAUUACCUUGACAGGGUAAGGGUCGGCGGUUCGAUCCCAUUGGCUCCGCC
rnacentral:tRNA from 1 species